ACAAAGGGAACCAAGAGGGUUGUGCUUAUAAAGAGAAGUCUGGACCACCGACUCCUGUCUGUAUGGCAGGGUGAAGAGUCACCGCUGUUGGCAGAAAUGGAAUGAUGCACAGACAAUGUACUGACUUGAAUGUCAGGAAUCCUGGCUGAUAUGCUGAGUGUCUUCCUGUCUUAGCAGCCCAGAUGCUCUGAAUUCACCAAGCCCAUGAGUCACUGAAAUAUCACCAGGUUGGCUUCAUUUGGAAACAGCAUGUUUUUACUAGCAGAAAGCCUUAAAGGUGUUCUAAUAUCUGCUUACUGUGGUGGUUAUGCUGUUCCCCACAGCCCUUGUCAACUACCCAACUUUCUGAUCUGGCUGUACAUCUAUUUUCUUUUGGUCACAGGAAGCACCAGAUGAAAAGUCAAGAACAUGGGGAGAUAGACCUAGCUCCUUGGCCAUGGAAAAGAUUUUCAGAAGCUGUAGGGACCAGAAGCCACCCUCAAGAGUCAUCGAAGCUGAAGAAAGUGUCUCUAGCAUCUGAAUAAAAGGAAAAAGGAAAAUAAGAUUCACUGAACAGUGUUUUGUAGAAAUAUCUAAUGAAGCCUGGUGUGUGGGAUGGAAUAAAUCUUGAUGCUGUAACCCAA